UGAUAAUAGAGGUGGUUGUGGGGGUGCGAGGAACGUUCUCUGUGAGGCUGUAGAAAGACACAAGCCAUCCAUGUUGGUUUCUGGUAGCUAUGGCUAUGGAGCUAUGAAAAGGGCUGUUUUAGGCAGUGUAAGUGAUUAUUGUGCGCAUCAUGCUUGCUGCACCGUGAUAAUUGUGAAGAGGCCCAAAAUCAAAAAUUGAAGCUACCCACCUACCACUCCAGCUACCUUGCCUUUGCUGCCUGCUUCAAAUAAGCCAACACAUAUGCUGCUGCAGCACCAGCUAGCUGCUGUGUCCGCCAAGUAAUUUUAAGCCUGGUAGCUUUUAAAGAAAUGUCGUUUUACUUGGGAAAUAUGUUGCUGACAGGCAUGUUAUGUAGCAUUGGUUUAUCAACAUAUCUGUUCUCUUUCAAGACUUCUGCUUGUUUCUGAUGGUAAAAGCAGUUUGUAUUUGUUCGAAUUA